GACAGAGGUGCCAAGCGUUAGGCGGAAUCACUGGGCUUAAAGCGUGUGUAGGCGGAUUUGUAAGUACCUUGUGAAAUCCCAUGGCUCAACCAUGGAACUGCUCGGUAUACUGCGAAUCUUGAGCCACUUAGGGGCUACCGGAACAAAUGGUGGAGCGGUGAAAUGCGUAGAUAUCAUUUGGAACGCCAAUGGUGAAAACAGGUAGCUGGGAGUGUGCUGACGCUCAUGCACGAAAGCGUGGGGAGCAAACAGG
rnacentral:rRNA from 1 species